rnacentral:piRNA from 2 species
UCUGACUGGAGUACCCACUGGCUGGAGU